rnacentral:lncRNA from 1 species
GAGAUGAAACAUGAACAUGAAUGUAUCAAGUUACUUCACUGGCCAAUCCCUUGCAUAAUUAAUUGUGUUUAAAAGGUUAUGUCAUUCUCUCUCCUUGCUAUUUUUUUCUCAUUAAAGUGAUUAAUUCAAGUUUAAUGGUCACAUAUUUAUUUUUCUCUUAAUUUAUGACAUCACUAAAUCUAUAAUAUGGUUGUGAUAUAUUAUUUGAGUUGCUACUUUGUUGGUUUCAAAAAUUUAUUUGAGAAAAUCAUUGACUUACUCUAAUUGUAUGCCAUCAUUAGUUGUGCAUUUUCACCGGAGCUGGUAUUAAUUCUUUAUUAAAAUUCAAGAGGAGGGGGAUGAAUUAAAAUUUUCUUCUAUGAGUCGACUACCAACUCCUCACUAUCGACUCGCCUGCAGACCAGAACACUUCAAACGCAGGUUAAUCUUAGAACAGUUAAGUAAGUAAAUAACACUACAACAUUUUAGUCCUACUGCCACUCUUGUAAAGUGUGGCCUAAAAUAGCAGAAAGUGUGGCCUUUGAUCAAAGGCUACGCUUUGGGACUUUAGGCAACACUUUUUGGGGUGACCUAAAGAGGCGUAACCUUUGAUCAAAGGUCACACUUUUCAAGUGUUGCCAAAUCAGCUACAUUUAAAAAACGUGGCCAUUAAGGUACAAAGUUCACGCUUUGCAGCUAGUCAUUGGCAACACUUUUAUUUGAUAAAGCUACACUUACAAGUGUUACCUUUGUUUUGCUCUUGGGCAUGCUUCACAAACGUAACCUUUUGUAGAACCUCUGUAACAACACUUAAAAAACAUCGUCUUUUCUUUAUUACCAACCAUACUUCUAAAUCAUAGCUUUUAUACAUCCUUUAUGACAACACUUGUAAAGUAUAAACAUAUUUUAGAUAUAUACCACAAUUUAAUUAAAAAGCCACAUUUUUUAAGUGUAGCAACAUUGCCUAAAAUUUGAUAGUUCAAGCCACAUUUUACAGAAAUGACUGUAUGUCUAAAAAUUAAUUAUUUUGAUCAGAAUGUAUACAUCACCAAUUAUAUUACAUCUAUACAUACAUAUAUAUAUAUAUAUAAUCUCACGCACCAAUUAGCUAAUAAAUAAUUCAAAUGCGUAGAUUUGCAAUGAACUUAAAAAAUCAUGUCUUUUACCACACAUACAAAUUAGAAAACAAAAUUUUAAAUAUUUGUAGUAAGUUUUACACAAAAUCAUAUGUAUUCAAACGUAUAUAAAAAUAGUUUAAAAAUUCUUCAUUAUUCACUUCAAUCUUGAUCAAGUUGAGAUGCGGCGGCCACCAUUCAAAUUUGGUCACCUGCAUUGUUCCUACACAUUCAAAAUGCGCAAACAAUUAGAAAAAAAUAUGCUUGACAAAUAUUCAAAUAUUUUUUCAAUCCGAAAUGAGGAAAUGUGUGAAUCAACAAUUUCUUAUUCAUUAAAUCAAGAUAAAAGUUCAGGAUUCAAGUUUCUUGUGAAUUUGAAAGAUAAAAUACCUUUUCAUAAACCAAAGCAUGAGCUGAGCUGGAAGAAUUUCCAUACCUUAUUAAUUUUCUGUGGCCUGCAUGAUUAGACCAUACAACAUGCAAUGAGUUAUCCUGAUACACAAUUGAAAUGAUGUUAAUGCUUAAAGUGAUCAACAGAAAUAUAGAAUGUUAUACAACAAAGAAUAUAUGCAAAAGAUGCCUACAAUCAAAUCUUCAAACGUGUACUUUUUAGGCAGUUCCUUUAACAAAUCAGUAUCUAGUGUAAGAUCCCACAUAUUCUGCCAAGUGAAAGCAUACACUCAGUUACAUAUAAAUUCUAUAUACAACAUAUAUUCCUGAAUAGCAUGUCAUAUAAGCGAUUAAAGAACUUAUGAAAUAGAUGAUUUACUUUUUUCGUAAGAUAUAUUUAUUAGGUUUAUUAUUUUAUCCAGCAGUGAUUGCAGAGUUACAAAUUUCUGUAUAAUAAUUUAUCCUAACUAUACUGUAAUGUGUAUCUAAUUCUAGAUUUUCAAUGUUAUUUAUUAUCUUGUGUUGUUCUUCUCGUAGUGAGUUUUUUAAAAUUAUAUAAACUAUCACAUGUACUUUUUUCUAAGGUUUCUUCUAUCCAUAUUAAUUUUUCUUUUAGAUUUUUCUAAUUCGGUUUCUAUAAUUAAUUUCAUUAUUUAGAUUAUCUUGAUUUUCUCUAGUUUUUCUAAUAUAUUCUAACAUCUCUUAAUCUGAAUAAUAUCUUUCUGGAUAAAUUUCUUCGUAUAACUGUUCUAGCCAAUUUAUGGUUUCAAUUUCAUUACUUCUGAAAUAAUGUUAUCUUCUCCAUUACAUCUUGAACAUUGGUGAUCUGGAUAUUUGUGUCCAAUUAUUUUACAAUAUCUUGUCAGUAAUCCGUCUGAAAUAAAUUCUUUUUUAAUUGCUCUUGCGGUAGAUUGUUUUUCUGGGUUAAGUAAUGUCAUUAUCCAUUGCCUAACAUCUUCCAUAUCUGCUUGUCGUAGCUCUUUUGAAUUAGAGUAAAUCAUUUGAUGAUCUCUCGAAUAAUAGCUCCAUAUUGGGUUUCCAUUAGUAUAAUUAUUUGCUAGUUCUUGGAUAAUCGUAGCCAGUCCAAUAAGUCGUUUAUUUGCGUAGAAGUCGGGUAUCUCAAUUCUGGGUAUCUCCGGUUGCUGUGUAAUAUCUUCUGGUAUGAUCAUAUCUCUAGUUAGUCCUAUCUUUACAACUUGUAUAACUGGUUUUAUUUCGUCAUAUAGUAUCUCUGCCGGUGCAGUAUAACAAACUAAUUGUACUACCCAAAACUAACCCAAGCCUAGUAAAAACUUGUUUUGACUAUGGACUACUAAACACCAUAUAUACCCAAGACGGAGAAGAAUUAACAGCUAUGGAAGAAUUACACAAGAUAUUCACCACCUACAAAAGGAUAACGAAAGGAAAUCUAUUUUACAUAAAGUGUUAUACUGCACCGGCAGAGAUACUAUAUGACGAAAUAAAACCAGUUAUACAAGUUGUAAAAAUAGGACUAACUAGAGAUAUGAUCAUACCAGAAGAUAUUACACACAUCAUAUAAUAUCUCUGCUGGUGCAGUAUACCACUUUAUAUAAAAUAAAUUUCCUUUUGUUAUUCUUUUAUAGGUAGUGAAUAUCUUAUAUAAUUCUUCCAUAGCUGUUAGUUCUUCUCCGUCUUGGGUGUAUAUGGUAUUUAGUAGUCCAUAGUUAAAACCUGCUUGGGUUAGUUUUGGGUAGUGCAAUUAGUUUGUUAUAUCUUUGUAAUUUUUGGGUUAUAUAGUUGGUGUUUGGUUCUUUGAUGUUUGUAGCUCUGGGGUUAUGAUUUAGAAAAGUUUGUACUCUGUAGAUAUUUUCUAUGUAUUUUUGGACUGUGUAGUUGUAAACUUUUUUUAUCUUGGUUUAGGCUAUCUCGAUAUGUAGUAACUUGUGGGGUAUGAACAAGUGGUCUUUUUGUGUUUUUGGUGUAAAUGAUUUUUCAAAUAUUUUAUUCAUAUUCAUAUUCUGGCAUCUUGGUCGAUUAACUCCUUUGCUUGUACCUGCAGAAGUAGAUUGAUAAAUGUUAUGAGUUUUAUGGAGUGUCCCAACGUCUCCUUCUAGCUCUGGAACUUUAAUGUCUUCUGAUCGACAUAGCUCUGCACACUGCUGAGUUAGCUGAUUUGUAGCUAUAGACUUCAGUUUAUCUUCAUUAGUCUUUAGCUUUUCUAUCUCAUUACCCAUACUGUCCACUUUCAUUGAAAGCGUAGUUAGGGUGUUAAGUAUUUUUUCUAGAGUAUCUUCCUCUACUAUUUCAGUCUGUGUAGCUUUGUCUUGAUAUGUAAUCUGCAAUAACAUUUUUGUUAGUACUGAUCACUUCAAUUGUAAAUGUGAAAUUUAAUAUAUUUAAAACUAGUCUUCGAAUCUCUUUUGUUGUAACUGAAUUUUGUAUUUUCUUUGUUAACCACCAGCGUACCUGUGUAUUAUCUGUUCGUACAAUAAAUUUGUUAUAUACAAUAUAUGGCUCAAAUGCUAAUAAACAUUUAUAUAAUGAACAUAAUUCUUUCCUAUUUAUUUCCCAUUUUAUUUCUGUCUCGUUGAACGUACCUGAGUAGUAUCUACAAUGGUGUUCUAUUUUUUCUGCUUCAUAUCGAUAUUUAAGUACUCCUCCGUAACUAUAUUCACUUGCAUCUGCUUCUACUAUAUAUAUAAAUUUUCUAUUUUCAUCUGGAAAUUGCAAUUUUGGUAAUUCUCUACAAAGUAAUUUUAUUUUUUGAACUUGUUUUUUAUCUUUUUCAUCAUAAUUAUAUUCUAUAUCCUUUUUUAAUUUUUUCUGCAGUGGUUUUAAGGUUUCUGCUAAUUUUGGAAUAUAUUCUCUUACUUGGUUUACUAAUCCUAAAAAUGAUUGUAAUUUCUUUUUUGUAUCUAAUUCUUCUUUCGAAUUUAUUAUUUUUUGUACUAUAUGUUGUUGCAUUUUUACUCCACUUUUAUCUAUUUGUAUUCCUAAAAAUUCUAUCUGGUUUUUCAUAAUUUCAGCUUUCUUUUUGCUUAGACUUAUUCCUGAUUUUUCUAUUAUAUCUGUGAAUUGUUCUAAUAAUUUUAAAUGUUCUUCUUUGGUUUUGGUGUAUAAUAAUAUAUCAUCUAUGUAUACUAUACAAUUAGAUAAUUGUUUAAAAUAAUUAUCCAUAAAAUGUUGAUAUCUACCUGGUGCAUUUUUAUAUCCAAAUGGUAACACGUUCCAUUCAUAAAAUCCUUGUGGUACCGUAAAUGCGGUUAAUUCUUUAGAUUCUUCUUCUAGCUUUAGGUGGUAAAAUCCUGAUUUACAAUCAAAUUUGCUAAAAUAAUUAUAUCCUUGGAUUUGUCUUAUUUUUAAUAUCUUAUUUGGUAUCGGAUAAUUAUAUGUUAUAGUUUUUGCAUUUAAAUUUCUAUAGUCAAUAACCAUCCUACUUUUUCCUCUUUUUUGUUCACUAUGUUUAUUUACUAUAAAUGCUGGACUAUUAUGUUUACUAUUACUUUUUUGUAUAUAUUGUUUUUCUAAUAAUUCAUCUAUGUGCAUUUUAAAUUCUUUUAAAUCAUCAAAAUUAUAUGUUAAUGGUUUUUGUGUUAUUAUGCUAUUCUUAUCUAUUAAUUCAAUUUUUAUAGUAGUUUUGUGUUUUUCCCAUCCUUUUAAUGGAUCUUCACUAUAUAAUUGUUCUAAUUUUUUCUGAAUUAUUUCUAUUUUAUUUAUUGAAAAUAUAGUUAUUUCUGUUUUAUUUAUCGAAAAUACUACUAGUUCUACUGUAUCUUCAGUAUUGUUUAUAUUUUCUAACUUUUGUGUAAUUUUUUCACUUCCUUUUAUCCAAUCAGUUUUCUUUCUUAUUUUAUUAUUAACUCUUUUUGCUCUUACUUUUUGUUUGCAUGGUGUUGUAAACCACCAGUCUGUUUUAGUUAUUAUAUGUGGGUAUAAUUUAUCUAAAAAUGGCAUUCCUAAAAGUAUAUCUUUUGAUGUUAAUUCAUAGUUAUAAAUUUCUUCUAUUGUUAAUAUCUUAUCCCAUACUUGUAUUUUUACAUUCCUAGCUUUAUAAGUAAUUAAGCUUCCUUCAUUAUUAAAUCCUUUAACUAUUAUUGGUGUUUUUAGUUUAUCCCAUUUGCUUUCUGGUAAGCAAUUAUAUCUACAUAAAUUAGCUUCUGCUCCUGUAUCUAUCAUAGGCGUAUAAUAUCUACUGUAAUAUCCUUCUACUACUAUCUUCAUUAAUACAUGUAUCUUCAUUUCAUGUUAAGGCUCUUUUUAAGAAUAACUUUUCUUGGUUAUAUGUUAAGGUUAAUUGUGUAUGUUCUAUAUUAUAUGGUUUUACUUGUUCUAACCAUUUUAUUCCUAAUAUUAUAUCUGCUUUUUGCAUUUCUUCUUUUACUUCGAAUUCUAUUUUUAUUUUUCUAACUCCUAAUAUUAUUUCUUUUUCUGCUAGAUUUUUAUUAUUUAUUAAACUUCUUGGUAAGUCUGGGCAUAUAUUAUUGUCGGUUUUUAUUUCUUCAUUUUUUACUAGAUAUUUUGCUAUAUAAUUUUCUUCUUGUCCUGUGUUCAAAAGUAUUAAAUAUUCUUUUUCAUUUAUUUUUCCCGUUAUGUAAUAUUGGUUUAAAUUACUUAUUGAGUUUGUUUCAUAACUUGUUCUUUUUGAUGAGCUUGAUGAUUCUGGCUUUUCAUUAGCUAUUCUUUUCGUUGUACUUAUUCUAUCAUUUACUAUUUCUAAAUUUUCUUCUGUAUCUAUGUCUCUAUAGGUAUAAUCAUUAUAAUCUAUUGUUUUUACUAUUUGUUCGAAUGGGCUUUCUAUUUGUAUUUUGUUAAUCUUAUUUUUUCCUGUUAUUUUAUGUUUUGUUGUUAAUACAUAUAGAUUUUUACAUCUUGCUGUAAAUAUUUUACUUCCUGGGGUUAACUCUAUUCCUGAUAUUUUCCAAUAUAAUACUAAUGAUUUAUCUAUAUUCCUAUCUGUUACUGCUACUGAAUAAUUUGCACUUAUUAUAAAUUUAAAUUUUUGGUAUAUUAGAUUUCCUUUUACGGCAGUUAUUAUGCUUUUUUCUAUAGGUUUUAUAAUUCUAUCGUCUGCUAAAUAUAAUUCUAUUGGUGUAUCUAUUCCUUCUCUAAAACAUGCUUUUAUUAAUAUCUCUGUACCUCCAAGGUGUACAUAUUUUAUUGGAUCUCCUUUACUUUUUAUAUCAUUUAUUUCUUUAUUAAUUAUUCUUUUUGUUACUAGUGGUAUACUAGCUUUUCCUUUUGCAUAUCUGCAAUCUAUUACAUGUUCUUUUUGGCAUACUACAUAAUAUUCAUCUUUUUUCCUAGUAAAAAUAUUUUUUAUUGUUGGUAUUUUAAAUAUUUUGUCUACACUUAAAUCUAAUUCUUUUCCUUUUAUUUCAUCAAAUAUAUUACUGUCAAAUAUUAUUUUUUGUUCCGUUCCUUCAUCAUUUAAAUAUUCUUCCUUUGUUAUUAUUUUUAUAUCUUCUUCAGUCAUUUGAUUCAUCUAUUUCGCUAUCUAUUUCAUUAUCUGUUUCGUUUUCUGAAAUUUCAUAUAUACUAUCUUCACUUUCUAAUUCAUAAUCUAUAUAAUCUAUCUGCAUGUAUUCGGUAUUUUCUAUUUUUAUUUCUGAUAUUUGUUUAUUUUUUGGAUUUUUAGGUAAUUUACAAUCUCUAGCUAAAUGUCCUAACUUUCCACAAUUAUAACAAGUACAUUCUUUUAUAGAUUUCUUUUUUCUAUAUGGUCUUUUAUGUUUAUAAUUUUUUACAUAGUAUCUUUUUCUUGGUUUUUUAUAUUUAUAUUUUGAUUUUUUAUAUUUCUUAUAUUUCUUAUGUCUUUUUCUUUUCUUAUAAUAUCUUUCUUCGCAUCCAAAUUGGGGUGCUAUUUUAUUUUUGCAACAAGCUAAAUUUCUUAUUAAUGUUUUUUCCAUUUUUAAUUCUUCUCUAUAUUUUUCACAUAAGUUUCUAUACCAUUGUUGUAAAUAUUUUAUUCUUGCUCCUAACGUAUCUACUAUUUUUGCUUCUUCCCAACUUUUUAUUAUUUUCGAACUAAAUGGCUCGGGUAAUUUAUUAAAAUAUAAUUUUCUUAUUUCUUUACUUUCUUCUAUACUAUAUGCUCCUUUGUAAUAAUAUUCUUUAAAUGCGCAAGUAUAUUCAUCUAUAUAACACAUAUUACAUAUUGCUAAUUUUAACAUUAAAUUUCUAUUUGUAUCUUUUUCUUCAUUUUGUUCUUCUUCGAUUGUUGUCGUACUACCAAAUUCAUCUUUUAUAGCUGUUUCAUAUUUUUUUAAUAAUUCUAUAGGUGUUAGUUUAGUUGUUGUCGAUGAUGUUCCUUCUAUAGGUUUAUUAGUUCUUAAUACUUUUUUGCUAUUUUCGGUUAGAUUUGCAAACCAUAGUUUUACUGAUCCUAUUAGUGUUUUUUCUAUAUAUUCCGGUGCAUCUGUUAUAUUUAUAUUAUUAUCUAAUAAUUGUUUUGUCAUAUAUCCUAUCCAUAAUUGUAUUGUUUUUUCUGUAUCUAUUACACAGUCUAGAUCUAAAAAGUUAUAAUUUUUAUUCACUAUUUGUUUUGGUAUCCAUUUAUCAUAUUCAUUAUAUUUUUUAAACUUAUUCUUAUAAUAUAUGGGUUUUCUUAUUUCUGUUGUUUUAGGUAUUAUAUUUUCAUUUUCUUUUUUAUCAAGAGUAUUUAUUUCUGUGUGGGUAUUUUCUAAGUUUUCCUCAUUAAUUUUUUGUUCUUCAUUGAUUUCUAAAUUUUUUGUAUUUGUUAAUAUUUCUGUGUAUGUUUCACUAUCUUCGGACUCAUAAUUAUCUGUCUCUUCAAUAUCUAUAUUAUUUAUUUCUAAUUCUUCGUUUUUUAUUUCUAAUUUUUCCUUAAAUUGAUUUAUCUCAUUUAGUAAUUUCUGUUCUCUAUCUUUUUCUUCUUUUUCUUUUUGUCUUUGUUCAUACAGUUCUUUUAACAUUUGUAAUUCUUUUUCUAAUUCAGCAAUUCUACUAUUUUUGGUUUCUUCUAUUUUUCGUAUUUCUUCCGUAGUUUGUUGUUUUAUUUUUUCUAUUUCUUUUUUCCUAUCUAUCUCUUCAUUUUCUUUUUCUAUUCUUACCAUUGCUGUUAAUUUAUCUUCUAAUUUUAAUUCUUCUUUUUCUAACAUUAGAUAUAAAUGUUCACCUAUUUUCUUAUAUCUUCUUCCUAGAUUAGAAAAUACUAUUUUUAUUUUUGAUCCUUCGUGGUUUUCAUAUAUUUUUUCAUCUAUUAUAAAUUCUUCUUUGUUCAUUUUAUUGUGAAUAGUUCAUGUUGAUAUAUAUAUUCUAAACUAUCUAUUUGUGAUUCUAAUUUUGAUAUUUCAUCUUUUUGUGUAUCUAUUGAGUUUUUACUAACUCCGGCAAAUAUAUUAUAAUGUAGUCUUUUUAUUCUUAUUUUUAAUUCUUUACGUUUUUCAGAAAUAAUUUGUUUUAAUUCUUUGUAUUGUUGUACUUUAUUCAUUUAAACCAUGUUUAUAAUAUCUUGGCGGAUAUCUAAAUCUAAUUUUAUUAUAAUUAGGUAGUAUGUGUCUCAUUCUUCUAGAUUUUAAAUGGAUUAUUAUUUUGAUUCAAUACUAGNNNNNNNNNNNNNNGCUAAUCUUUGUGGGUUUUCUUUUGUUUUAUUUAGACUUAUAUAUUCUGAAUAAUUACUAAUUAAGGAUUCUUUAAUUUUUCUAAAAGCUUCUCUAUUUUUAAAUGGUCUUCGCAUAAUUAAUUUAAUAAUUUAUAACUCUAACAUAUAUCUCACUUCUUUCUAAUAGCUCUAACAUAUAUGUCACUUCCGUAUUUUUUGAAUUACUGAUCUCUGAUACCAUUUGGAGGGAGGUGCGAAUAUAAGCGAUUAAAGAUCUUAUGAUGUAGUCUUUUUAUUCUUAUUUUUCAAUAUAUGUUAGAGUUAUUAUAAUCGCAAAUAUAUUAUAAUGUAGUCUUUUUAUUCUUAUUUUUAAUUCUUUACGUUUUUCAGAAAUAAUUUGUUUUAAUUCUUUGUAUUGUUGUACUUUAUUGCAAUUAAAAAAGAAUUUAUUUCAGACGGACUACAGACAAGGUAUUGUAAAAUAAUUGGACACAAAUAUCCAGAUCACCAAUGUUCAAGAUGUAAUGGAGAAGAUAACAUUAUUCCAGAAGUACAUCUAGAAUAAAAGAAGACAAAAUGUCAGCUGGAAAGAUAAGAUAAGAAGCAAUAAUGGAGAUAUAGCAGAUACGACAACAUCAACGGACGACAAGAUAUUGAAUCAUUUAUGAAGCAUUGUAUAGAUUUUUACGUAAUUGAUAAGAUUGUAAUGUAUAUAGCCUUGGACUUUUUUCUUUAGCCUUUAAAGGCUAUGUAUAGAUUUUUUAGAAUUAGGUAGCCUAUAGUAACCUUUUUAACUUGUAGGAUAACAUUUAAAAAACAUGUAAAGUUUUUCGUUCUAUAAAAGAAGGCAACUGAAGGCAUUGCAAAACAAGCCUUCAUGCGUUGAAGCAAAUACUCUCUCCAUUCCACAACAAAUAUUUUACUCAGUUAAUUAA